rnacentral:rRNA from 1 species
AUUGAACGCUGGCGGCAUGCCUUACACAUGCAAGUCGAACGGCAGCACGGGAGCAAUCCUGGUGGCGAGUGGCGAACGGGUGAGUAAUAUAUCGGAACGUGCCCAGUCGUGGGGGAUAACGCAGCGAAAGCUGUGCUAAUACCGCACACGAUCUAUGGAUGAAAGCGGGGGACUCGCAAGGGCCUCGCGCGAUUGGAGCGGCUGAUAUCAGAUUAGGUAGUUGGUGGGGUAAAGGCCUACCAAGCCUGCGAUCUGUAGCUGGUCUGAGAGGACGACCAGCCACACUGGAACUGAGACACGGUCCAGACUCCUACGGGAGGCAGCAGUGGGGAAUUUCGGACAAUGGGCGCAAGCCUGAUCCAGCAAUGCCGCGUGCAGGAUGAAGGCCUUCGGGUUGUAAACUGCUUUUGUACGGAACGAAAAGGCUCUGGUGAAUACCUGGAGUUGAUGACGGUACCGUAAGAAUAAGCACCGGCUAACUACGUGCCAGCCGCCGCAGUAA